rnacentral:rRNA from 1 species
GUCCACGCCCUAAACGAUGUCAACUAGGUGUUGGGAGGGUAAACCUUUUAGUACCGGAGCUAACGCGUGAAGUUGACCGCCUGGGGAGUACGGCCGCAAGGUUAAACUCAAAGGAAUUGACGGGGACCCGCACAAGCGGUGGAUGAUGUGGAUUAAUUCGAUGCAACGCGAAAACCUUACCUACCCUUGACAUGUCAGGAACUUGCCAGAGAUGGCUUGGUGCUCGAAAGAGAACCUGAACACAGGUGCUGCAUGGCUGUCGU